rnacentral:lncRNA from 1 species
CUGGGGAACCCCCAAAACACGGAGUGGGGGCUCUCCUUGAAGUGGAAACAAAGUCCUUCUGGAGCUGUAAGACACCAGGGGCACAAAGAUUAAUGACAGCCUGGUGAGGUUUCAGCACAAAUACCUUUGCACAUUGGAAGCUCUGCAAAGACACAGUGAUUCAUGCCUCUGGAAGGGAAAAGAAAGCUGAGGCAGGACAUGCAAGCUGUGAGAGGAUCCGAUAUCAAAAGAGCUGGAGCCUCUCGUGAGCACCCAGCCGUACCAACACAAAUACAUCCCUGCACGACUCACGGCGGAGCCACAGCUGAACGCAGGCCGUCGCUUUAGUGAGCGCUAAGCUGAUUUGGCUGCGCAGCUCAUUCAUCGAGGAGCAAAGAAGACAGGGCAGGAAGCAUCACUCAGUAAUGAAUUACACACGACACAAAAAAGCCACAGGUGUGGUUUUAGAGUCUGUGCAUGCAGCCGCCGCAGCCCUGGAUUCCACGUAAUUGCUCUCCCAUUCCUGUGACGUGGGAAGUCUCUCCAUGUGCUGACUUCAGGACAUCAAGUUAUCCUCAAG